CCUACGGGUGGCAGCAGUGGGGAAUAUUGCACAAUGGGCGCAAGCCUGAUGCAGCCAUGCCGCGUGUGUGAAGAAGGCCUUCGGGUUGUAAAGCACUUUCAGCGGGGAGGAAGGCGGUGAGGUUAAUAACCUCAUCGAUUGACGUUACCCGCAGAAGAAGCACCGGCUAACUCCGUGCCAGCAGCCGCGGUAAUACGGAGGGUGCAAGCGUUAAUCGGAAUUACUGGGCGUAAAGCGCACGCAGGCGGUCUGUCAAGUCGGAUGUGAAAGCCCCGGGCUCAACCUGGGAACUGCAUUCGAAACUGGCAGGCUAGAGUCUUGUAGAGGGGGGUAGAAUUCCAGGUGUAGCGGUGAAAUGCGUAGAGAUCUGGAGGAAUACCGGUGGCGAAGGCGGCCCCCUGGACAAAGACUGACGCUCAGGUGCGAAAGCGUGGGGAGCAAACAGGAUUAGAUACCCUAGUAGUC
rnacentral:rRNA from 1 species